GCGCUUGCUGCGGCAGCACAUACACUACAAUUGGAACGGUACAGAGAAGAUUAGCACAGCCCCUGCGCAAGGAUCCCCUCUUCCCUGGUGUCCUUCAUGCUUUU